rnacentral:rRNA from 1 species
GGGCAGCCACUUAGCGAUAAGGCGCGAAUCCCAUAAACCUGUCUCAGUCCGGAUUGGAGUCUGCAACUCGACUCCAUGAAGUUGGAAUCGCUAGUAAUCGCAGAUCAGCACGCUGCGGUGAAUACGUUCCCGGGCCGUU